rnacentral:pre_miRNA from 1 species
UCUUAUGGAUGAGCAAAGAAAGUAGUUUCUUGAGAUGGAAUCUAUUCCUGAUGAAGAUGCCAUAAAGA